GUCGAACGAUGAAGCCGGAGCUUGCUCUGGUGGAUUAGUGGCGAACGGGUGAGUAACACGUGAGUAACCUGCCCCUGACUCUGGGAUAAGCGCUGGAAACGGCGUCUAAUACCGGAUAUGCGCUGUAACCGCAUGGUUUGCAGCGGGAAAGAUUUAUCGGUUGGGGAUGGACUCGCGGCCUAUCAGCUUGUUGGUGAGGUAAUGGCUCACCAAGGCGUCGACGGGUAGCCGGCCUGAGAGGGUGACCGGCCACACUGGGACUGAGACACGGCCCAGACUCCUACGGGAGGCAGCAGUGGGGAAUAUUGCACAAUGGGCGCAAGCCUGAUGCAGCAACGCCGCGUGAGGGAUGACGGCCUUCGGGUUGUAAACCUCUUUUAGCAGGGAAGAAGCCUUCGGGUGACGGUACCUGCAGAAAAAGCGCCGGCUAACUACGUGCCAGCAGCCGCGGUAAUACGUAGGGCGCAAGCGUUAUCCGGAAUUAUUGGGCGUAAAGAGCUCGUAGGCGGUUUGUCACGUCUGCUGUGAAAACUGGAGGCUCAACCUCCAGCCUGCAGUGGGUACGGGCAGACUAGAGUGCGGUAGGGGAGAUUGGAAUUCCUGGUGUAGCGGUGGAAUGCGCAGAUAUCAGGAGGAACACCGAUGGCGAAGGCAGAUCUCUGGGCCGUUACUGACGCUGAGGAGCGAAAGGGUGGGGAGCAAAC
rnacentral:rRNA from 1 species